UAGGGAAUCUUCGGCAAUGGACGAAAGUACUGACCGAGCAACGCCGCGUGAGUGAAGAAGGUUUUCGGAUCGUAAAGCUCUGUUGUUAAAGAAGAACACGUAUGAGAGUAACUGUUCAUACGUUGACGGUAUUUAACCAGAAAGUCACGGCUAACUACGUGCCAG
rnacentral:rRNA from 1 species